rnacentral:misc_RNA from 1 species
GAUGAAGAACGUAGCGAAAUGCGAUAAGUAGUGUGAAUUGCAGAAUUCAGUGAAUCAUCGAAUCUUUGAACGCACAUUGCGCCCUUUGGUAUUCCUUAGGGCAUGCCUGUUCGAGCGUCAUUUAAACCUUCAAGCUCAGCUUGGUGAUGGGUGACUGUCCUCCCCUCGCGGGGGGACUCGCCUCAAAAACAUUGGCGGCCGGUACAUUGGCUUCGAGCGCAGCAGAAACGCGGUCUCGAGUCCGGUGGAUCGGCUCCCAUAAGUCUAUUCUUUUAUUUUGACCUCGGAUCAGGUAGGGAUACCCGCUGAACUUAAGCAUAUCAAUAAGCGAGG